CCUACGGGCGGCAGCAGUGAGGAAUAUUGGUCAAUGGGCGCUAGCCUGAACCAGCCAAGUAGCGUGAAGGAUGACGGCUCUAUGAGUUGUAAACUUCUUUUAUAUGGGAAUAAAGUCCAAUAUGUAUACUGCUUUGCAUGUACCUUAUGAAUAAGGAUCGGCUAACUCCGUGCCAGCAGCCGCGGUAAUACGGAGGAUCCGCGCGUUAUCCGGAUUUAUUGGGUUUAAAGGGAGCGUAGGCGGGUUGUUAAGUCAGUGGUGAAAGUUUGCGGCUCAACCUUAAAAUUGCAGUUGAUACUGUCAGCAUUGAGUACAGUAGAGGUAGGCGGAAUGCGUGGUGUAGCGGUGAAAUGCUUAGAUAUCACGAAGAACACCGAUUGCGAAGGCAGCCUGCUGGGCUGUAACUGACGCUGAUGCUCGAAAGUGUGGGUAUCAAACAGGAUUAGAUACCCUGGUAGUC
rnacentral:rRNA from 1 species